rnacentral:rRNA from 1 species
UACGAAGGGGGCUAGCGUUGUUCGGAAUUACUGGGCGUAAAGCGCACGUAGGCGGAUUGUUAAGUGAGGGGUGAAAUCCCAGGGCUCAACCCUGGAACUGCCUUUCAUACUGGCAAUCUCGAGUCCGAGAGAGGUGAGUGGAAUUCCGAGUGUAGAGGUGAAAUUCGUAGAUAUUCGGAAGAACACCAGUGGCGAAGGCGACUCACUGGCCCGAUACUGACGCUGAGGCGCGAAAGCGUGGGGAGCAAACAGG